CGGACGGGUGAGUAACACGUGGAUAACCUACCUAUAAGACUGGGAUAACUUCGGGAAACCGGAGCUAAUACCGGAUAAUAUAUUGAACCGCAUGGUUCAAUAGUGAAAGACGGUUUUGCUGUCACUUAUAGAUGGAUCCGCGCCGCAUUAGCUAGUUGGUAAGGUAACGGCUUACCAAGGCAGCGAUGCGUAGCCGACCUGAGAGGGUGAUCGGCCACACUGGAACUGAGACACGGUCCAGACUCCUACGGGAGGCAGCAGUA
rnacentral:rRNA from 1 species